UCAAGUAAGUAAGGGCGUACGGCGGAUGCCUUGGCCAUAUCAGCCGAAGAAGGACGCGAUAAGCUGCGAUAAGCUGCGGUGAGGUGCAAGUAACCUUUGACCCGCAGAUUUCCGAAUGGGGAAACCCGGCAGCAGUAGUGCUGUCAUCCUCUAUGAGGAAGGGCACCCGGUGAACUGAAACAUCUAAGUAGCCGGAGGAAAAGGAAUCAACAGAGAUACCCCUAGUAGCGGCGAGCGAACGGGGCAGAGCCCAAACCGGAAUGGGAAACCAAUCCGGGGUUGUGGACUGCUAUCAAAUGCAUGAGUGAAGCAGAAUGAGCUGGGAAGCUCAGCCAGAGAGAGUGAGAGCCUCGUAGGCGUAAGCAAAUGCAUGGAGCAGGAUCCAGAGUACCACGGGACACGAGAAACCCUGUGGGAAGCUGGGGGGACCACCCUCCAAGGCGAAACACUGAUAUGGACCGAUAGCGCAUAGUACCGUGAGGGAAAGGUGAAAAGAACCCCGGGAGGGGAAUGAAAGAGAACCUGAAACCGUAUGUCUACAAGCAGUCGAAGACCUUUAUAUGGUCGACGGCGUGCCUAUUGAAGAAUGAACCGGCGAGUUACUUCAGCUAGCGAGGUUAAGCGGAAAACGUGGAGCCGAAGCGAAAGCGAGUCUGAACAGGGCGUAUAGUUAGUUGGAGUAGACCCGAAACCACAGUGAUCUACCCAUGUCCAGGUUGAAGCACAGGUAAAAAUGUGUGGAGGACCGAACCAGUGAGCGUUGAAAAGCUUUUGGAUGAGAUGUGGGUAGGGGUGAAAUGCCAAUCGAACGUGGAGAUAGCUGGUUCUCCCCGAAAUAGCUUUAGGGCUAGCCUCAUGGCGAGAGUACAGGCGGUAGAGCACUGAACGGGGUAGGGGCCUAUCCGGCUACUGAACCUAAUCAAACUGCGAAUGGCUGUACUUAUCCAUGGGAGUCAGACUGUGAGUAAUAAGGCCCAUAGUCAAGAGGGAAACAGCCCAGACCAACAGCUAAGGUCCCCAAUGCCGUACUAAGUGGCGAAGGAUGUGGAAUUUCGAAAACAACCAGGAUGUUGGCUCAGAAGCAGCCACCAUUAAAAGAGUGCGUAAUAGCUCACUGGUCGAGAGACUCUGCGCCGAAGAUGUCCGGGGCUAAAGUACGGAACCGAAGCUUUGGCAAUUGACAUUAGUCAAUUGGGUAGGGGAGCGUUCCUGCAUGGGAGAAGCCUGACCGGAAGGACAGGUGGACAGGCAGGAAGAGAGAAUGCCGGUAUGAGUAGCGAAAAGAAGGGUGAGAAUCCCUUCCACCGAAAGCCUAAGGGUUCCUGGGCAACGAUCGUCGUCCCAGGGUAAGUCGGGACCUAAUCCGAGGCGGAGACGCGUAGGAGAUGGACAACAGGUUGAAAUUCCUGUACUGGCUGAGGCCGUUUGAGCGAAGGAGUGACACAGGAAGGAAGGCGCGCGUGCGAUUGGAAGAGCACGUCCAAGCAGGUAGGUUGGGAGACAGGCAAAUCCGUUUCCCGAGAGGCCGAGAUGCGAUGGGGAGCUUCUGGAGACAGAAGCGAAGGGGCUGGCACUAAACUGUCGAGAAAAGCUUCUAGUGAGGACUCAGGCACCCGUACCGAAACCGACACAGGUAGGCAGGAUGAGAAUUCUAAGGUGCGCGGGAAAACCCUCGUUAAGGAACUCGGCAAAAUAUAUCCGUAACUUCGGGAAAAGGAUAACCCAGCGUACGUGAAGUGCAGAAGCGCACGGAGCGGAGAUGGGUGGCAGAAGAGAGGCCCAAGCGACUGUUUACCACAAACACAGGCGUCUGCUAAAGCGAAAGCUGAUGUAUAGAUGCUGACACCUGCCCGGUGCUGGAAGGUUAAGAGGAAGUGUUAGCGCAAGCGAAGCAGUGAAUUGAAGCCCCAGUAAACGGCGGCCGUAACUAUAACGGUCCUAAGGUAGCGAAAUUCCUUGUCGGG
rnacentral:rRNA from 1 species